UUCUUCUCAAUCUCAUAUCUUUUUUUCUUCGUCUUCUCGG
rnacentral:sRNA from 1 species